rnacentral:rRNA from 1 species
CGGGCAUGACUCGCUACUGGCAUCCUCGAUAUCACAUCGAGGAUAACGUAAGGGAAAAGAAUGAUAUUACCUUACUAUUAGUGUCGUCCAAAUGCUCGUGCCAGAAGACUCGGUAAGGCGAGAGACGCAAACGUUAGUCGUCUUGAUCAGGCGUAAAGGGUUUGUAGGCAGCUUUAAGUAUCCAAUUUAAUGUUUACUAUUAUAAUAUUUACAAGUUAUAAUAUUUAUUAGAGGAUCAAUUAAAGCUAGAAUCUAGAAGAGGUGAAUAUAAUGCUUGAGCUUAGGAGUACUAACCGCAAACAUCAAGUAGAGUGCUAAGGGCGAAGGCAGUUUUCCAAUAAAGAUUGACGCUGAGAAACGAAGGUGAGGAUAGAAAAAAGGAUUAGAGACCCUUGUAUCCCUCACUGUCAACGAUGAAUGGUAGUUACUAGGGAGAGAUGACUUAGAGGCGAUGUUAACACGUAAACCAUUCCGCCUUGUGAGUACGACUGCAAAGUUGAAAACAAAAAAAUUAGUCGGUUUCGGAGCAAACGAAGUGAAGCAUGUUAUUUAAUAA